CUCCUACGGGAGGCAGCAGUCGAGAAUUUUUGACAAUGGGGGCAACCCUGAUCGAGCGACGCCGCGUGGAGGAUGAAGGUCUUCGGGUUGUAAACUCCUGUCAUUUGGGAACAAGCGCCGGUAAGUAACUACUACCGGCUUGAUAGUACCAGAAGAGGAAGGGACGGCUAACUCUGUGCCAGCAGCCGCGGUAAUACAGAGGUCCCAAGCGUUGUUCGGAUUCAUUGGGCGUAAAGGGUGUGUAGGUGGCGCCGUAAGUCGGGUGUGAAAUUUCGAGGCUUAACCUCGAAACUGCAUUCGAUACUGCGGUGCUUGAGGACUGGAGAGGAGACUGGAAUUCAUGGUGUAGCAGUGAAAUGCGUAGAGAUCAUGAGGAAGACCAGUGGCGAAGGCGGGUCUCUGGACAGUUCCUGACACUGAGACACGAAGGCCAGGGGAGCAAACGGGAUUAGAUACCCCGGUAGUCCUGGCAGUAAACUGUGCACGUUUGGUGUGGGGGGAUUCGACCCCUUCUGCGCCGGAGCUAACGCGUUAAACGUGCCGCCUGGGGAGUACGGUCGCAAGAUUAAAACUCAAAGAAAUUGACGGGGGCCCGCACAAGCGGUGGAGUAUGUGGCUUAAUUCGAUGCAACGCGAAGAACCUUACCUGGCCUUGACAUGCAUCUCUAAGUUGGUGAAAGCCAGCGAGUCUCGAAAGAGACAAUUUGCACAGGUGCUGCAUGGCUGUCGUCAGCUCGUGUCGUGAGAUGUUGGGUUAAGUCCCGCAACGAGCGCAACCCUUGUGAACUGUUGCCACCGACCCGCGAGGGUCGAGCACUCUGUUCAGACUGCCC
rnacentral:rRNA from 1 species